CGGCUGCCAGACAGUGGGGGACUUUGAGUUGCAGAUUAUUGCAGACUAAGCAGUCUGGCUCUGCAGCAGCAGCACAAGCCGAGGCGCUGGGAAGCCGGCCAGCCAGCCUCAGAAUUAGCUCAUUAAUACACGGGCACUGAGGAGAGGCGGGCUGCCGAGCCCUCUCCUCAGUGCUUCACCUCUUCUUCCUAGAAGCCCCAGCAUGCAGCCCGUGCGGCCACCUCGCUGCUAAGUAUGUAGAAGUGAGGACUGAGCUGCUGAGCCGUCUGCCUAUUGUUCUUCUUGUGGUAAUGGCCACGAUGCCACCUCCACACCGCUGCCAGGUUGUCAGCGUGAUAUACCAUCCGCACUUAGCAAUCUGUGGCACUGGUGACCCAUGUGAAACCAUACUGAUAGAUGGAAGAUUUCCCAAUGGGACCCUCCAUCUACCUAGAAUGGUCAACCACAAGGAGAACAAUGAGGCAGACGGACUCCUGGCUCCAGAAAAUGGUUGCAGACAUCACGUCACUGAAAUUAAUUACCUCUUCCUUUUUUAAUUGUAUCUCUUCCAUGUGUAGUGCAUUUGUUUUUUGAUUGUUGACACACCCAUGAUGUCAUAUAUUGGGAACUGUGUAUAUCAUCAAGUGUAAGCAUAUAUGGGACUCUGAGCCUUGCUUUAGAGAAUUACCACAAAGUUGUACCAUAACUCAAUUUUUUACAGUCUAGGUCGGGUGAAGCUCUUCACACUGUGAAUCCAUGUUUACACCCAGUACAGGUGGGCCUUGUGGCCUGUUUCUACCACAGCAAUGUCUUCCUCUUCUCACGCUCCUCUGUUCACAAUAUGCCGGUAACUUACAGCCUUCACUUUCAGUACCAGUUUGAUGCUUUUUUUCCACCUGUUGAUUACUCUCAGUUGUGGCAGCCAUUUAGCGAGCUGAAGUAAUAUUAGUAACCUAUGAAUUUACUAAGAACUAUGUGAUGUACAUGUUGUCAGGUACUCGAUACCUCCAUGUUGUUAGUCCGUAGUAAAGUGAUAGGCCGUAUUCUCAUGAAAACUAGUUGAGCUCAAGAAAUGUCUGCCACCAGUGUGUGUAAGCGACGGAUGCAGUUUGACACUUAACUAUCCUCUCUGAGGCUAAGAGUCCCCCUUAUAUCAUGUAUUCCUUUCACUUAGAUGUAGCAUACUCGCUUCCUUUCUUUUCAUCCAUUGUCUGUAUAUCUCUAUUUUAUCCAUGUACACUUUUAAUGUAUAGAAAUAGUUGUUUGAAACACAUUGUUUCCUUGUGGUAAGUGACAGAGAAGCUGCCACAGGAUCUGAGACACUGAUGAAUGGUGCUAUUUUGGACUUUUAAACAUGCUCCUUGGUAAGGUAGCUCUGAUGGGAGUUUUAUUUUUCAUGUUCUAAGAAGGUGUUGGUAUUUUUUCCUGAUUGUUGUUCUAUAGGCGGAACUGACUCUUUCUUGUCUUCAGUGUAGUUUUACUAGGGCAAAUAACUGCUAAGCGGGCGAGUCAGGCAAGUAAUCUUCUUCUUUUUUUUCUCUACUUUUUUUUUUUUUUUUUUUUUACAAUUCAGGGUAGAUUCGCCAACAUACAGCUAUUCUAGUGGGAGCAAUCACAAAACUGUAAUUUACUAAUCUCGAUAAUCCAAACCCCCUGUCCCUACAUUUGAAAAAAAUAAAAUAAAUUAUAUAUAUAUAUAUAUAUAUAUAUAUAUAUAUUUUAUAUUUAUACAGCAAUAAUGUUUCACUAAUCCGAUACAAAUCUUUCAUUUUCUUCUGUUUUAGAAGGAGUGUGUAUGAAAAAGGGCAUGUUUCUGUAAAUGUCCUGGGGUCUGUGGCAGGUAUUAAUUUUAGGGAUGAGGCAGCUAAUAAUUUUGCAUCUUUCCUUUUUUUUUUUUUUUUUUUUUUUUGUUGCAAACUUAAAAAAAAAAAAAAAAACUACAGUUAUUUUUUAUUUUUAUUUUUUUCAUUUUACACUUUUGUUCUUGCUCUCAGUGGCAAAUAAAGUAACCUACUCUUGAAAUGCUGUUGUGUGAGACAGUCUGGAAGCCCACCUUAAUAACACUUUUUAUUGUUUGUUUUUUCGUUUAGUAAAUCUAUCAGUCUUUAGCUCUUCCUCCACAGUACAGAUUACGCUCUGAACGGUUUUAGCUUUUGACUGUUACUAGGAAAUGCAUGCUUAGCCUAUGAUUUUCCUAAUCUUGUAUUUUUUUUUCUUCCUCUGCUUUGAGUGCCCUGUUGUAUGAGUAGAAGAUAUCAGCUGUGCUGUAUAUAAUAGAGCAAUUUAAUCAAUAUUAAGCAGUCGUGGCAUAUAUGUAUGGUUGCAGUUGUGUAUUGAUAAAAAGGCAAGCUUUUGUAAUAAUGUGAUCUAAUAAUGCACUUCAAGUACCCAAUGUAUUUUAACAAUUUUAGUAGAAUUUGUUGAAUAAACAUGCAAGCUCUAACUGU